UAAUACCUUCGGGGCAGGGUGCGUAGCUUUAAGUGGCGAACAAAUCCCGACCGGCGGUAAAGCCCGCGAGCAUACACAUAUGCAUGAUCCGGUGAAACUCCGGAGCCGACGGUAUAGUCCGGAUGGAAGAAGGUUUUU
rnacentral:ncRNA from 1 species